rnacentral:lncRNA from 1 species
UUUGGAGGCGAAAUGUGCAAAGGGAGCCAAGUUUCUGCCCUUUGGCAGAAACCAGGUUCGGCAGCCGAAGGAUUUUCGGCCGCCGAACAUGGCUGGGGAGGCAGCCUUUCGGCUGCCGAAGCUUGCCCCCGAAAGGGAGACUUUCGUCUCUGUCUGGCAGUUUCGACCGCUGAAAGUGCCGCCGAACAUGCAUGAGUUUCGUCUCUGUCUGGGAGUUUCGGCCGCCGAAGGUGCCGCCGAACCUGCCUGACUUUCGGCUCUGGAAGGACUUUCAGCCGCCGAACCUGCCGCCGAAAGUGCCCUGUCCAGGCCUCCUUUGCAUGAUUUUGUAUGGUUGUUUCAUGAUGUUUUAGGGAGUUUUUGG